rnacentral:other from 1 species
GGUAUGCUGCCAUACCCGUUAGGCCUUUGAAUCCCGGGGCCAACGAUACCUCUAAGGGAGCUGUCCCUGGCCGGCUCGUGGGCCGGUCAUACGGUGCCCACCUGUUAAUCACAGGCCUAGAGGAUUGAUCACGCCGACGGCUUGGUGGCGCCGCC